ACUGAAGGAAUCAGCGUGUUUAACAAUCCUGGGCCGACAGGCUUCCGGGUAACCCGCUGAACCUCCUUCGUGCUUAGGGAUCGUGGCUUGCAAUUUUUCCACGUGAAC
rnacentral:rRNA from 14 species